AGAGUUUGAUUAUGGCUCAGAGCGAACGCUGGCGGCAGGCCUAACACAUGCAAGUCGAGCGGCCGUAGCAAUACGGCAGCGGCAGACGGGAGAGUAACACGUGGGAACGCGCCCUUCGGUUCGGGAUAACUCAGGGAAACUUGGGCUAAUACCGGAUACGCCCUUACGGGGAAAGAUUUAUUGCCGAAGGAACGGCCCGCGUCCGAUUAGCUUGUUGGUGAGGUAACGGCUCACCAAGGCGACGAUCGGUAGCUGGUCUGAGAGGAUGACCAGCCUCACUGGGACUGAGACACGGCCCAGACUCCUACGGGAGGCAGCAGUGGGGAAUAUUGGACAAUGGGCGCAAGCCUGAUCCAGCCAUGCCGCGUGGGUGAUGAAGGCCCUAGGGUUGUAAAGCCCUUUCGGCGGGGAAGAUAAUGACGGUACCCGCAGAAGAAGCCCCGGCUAACUUCGUGCCAGCCGCCGCGGUAA
rnacentral:rRNA from 1 species